AGAGUUUGAUCCUGGCUCAGGACGAACGCUGGCGGCGUGCCUAAUUCAUGCAAGUAGAACGCUGAAGGAGGAGCUUGCUUCUCUGGAUGAGUUGCGAACGGGUGAGUAACGCGUAGGUAACCUGCCUGGUAGCGGGGGAUAACUAUUGGAAACGAUAGCUAAUACCGCAUAAGAGUGGAUGUUGCAUGACAUUUGCUUAAAAGGUGCACUUGCAUCACUACCAGAUGGACCUGCGUUGUAUUAGCUAGUUGGUGGGGUAACGGCUCACCAAGGCGACGAUACAUAGCCGACCUGAGAGGGUGAUCGGCCACACUGGGACUGAGACACGGCCCAGACUCCUACGGGAGGCAGCAGUAGGGAAUCUUCGGCAAUGGACGGAAGUCUGACCGAGCAACGCCGCGUGAGUGAAGAAGGUUUUCGGAUCGUAAAGCUCUGUUGUAAGAGAAGAAUGAGUGUGAGAGUGGAAAGUUCACACUGUGACGGUAUCUUACCAGAAAGGGACGGCUAACUACGUGCCAGCAGCCGCGGUAAUACGUAGGUCCCGAGCGUUGUCCGGAUUUAUUGGGCGUAAAGCGAGCGCAGGCGGUUAGAUAAGUCUGAAGUUAAAGGCUGUGGCUUAACCAUAGUAGGCUUUGGAAACUGUUUAACUUGAGUGCAAGAGGGGAGAGUGGAAUUCCAUGUGUAGCGGUGAAAUGCGUAGAUAUAUGGAGGAACACCGGUGGCGAAAGCGGCUCUCUGGCUUGUAACUGACGCUGAGGCUCGAAAGCGUGGGGGGCAAACAGGAUUAGAUACCCUGGUAGUCCACGCUGUAAACGAUGAGUGCUAGGUGUUAGACCCUUUCCGGGGUUUAGUGCCGUAGCUAACGCAUUAAGCACUCCGCCUGGGGAGUACGACCGCAAGGUUGAAACUCAAAGGAAUUGACGGGGGCCCGCACAAGCGGUGGAGCAUGUGGUUUAAUUCGAAGCAACGCGAAGAACCUUACCAGGUCUUGACAUCCCUCUGACCGCUCUAGAGAUAGAGCUUUCCUUCGGGACAGAGGUGACAGGUGGUGCAUGGUUGUCGUCAGCUCGUGUCGUGAGAUGUUGGGUUAAGUCCCGCAACGAGCGCAACCCCUAUUGUUAGUUGCCAUCAUUUAGUUGGGCACUCUAGCGAGACUGCCGGUAAUAAACCGGAGGAAGGUGGGGAUGACGUCAAAUCAUCAUGCCCCUUAUGACCUGGGCUACACACGUGCUACAAUGGCUGGUACAACGAGUCGCAAGCCGGUGACGGCAAGCUAAUCUCUUAAAGCCAGUCUCAGUUCGGAUUGUAGGCUGCAACUCGCCAACAUGAAGUCGGAAUCGCUAGUAAUCGCGGAUCAGCACGCCGCGGUGAAUACGUUCCCGGGCCUUGUACACACCGCCCGUCACACCACGAGAGUUUGUAACACCCGAAGUCGGUGAGGUAACCGUAAGGAGCCAGCCGCCUAAGGUGGGAUAGAUGAUUGGGGUGAAGUCGUAACAAGGUAGCCGUAUCGGAAGGUGCGGCUG
rnacentral:rRNA from 1 species